UCCGUGUUCUGCAGCGUGAGCCCUUCGACCCUCAUUCCUCACACACACACAAAUGUGUUUCUAACCAUCCGCCUCGUGUUUGUCACUCUCACCUCACUUUGAUGUAGUUUAUGAAAAUUGACUUUACAAGGGUCGUGUUUUAUGUUCCUCCUUUAUUGGCUAGGCUAGCAUCCGCCGCCGUGCCAUUGUGUGUGUGUGUGUGUGUCAGAUAGACAAGUAUCUGAUUAAUAGCUCUCUUGGUCUCUGGCUGGCUCAUUUUUCAGCACUGUUGUUUAAGACCUGUGGCUCUUCUCUUGGUGAGAUGUAGAUGCGUUUCCCCUUGCUGUUUAUUGAUAUUCUGUUUCCCUAAAUACGGACCUAUUUGUCUCCGCUGUCUCCCCUCCGCCCCAGCCGUACACCGGACCUGAGAGGAUGGGCGGAUCAGGGAGGAGGCGGAGAGGGGCAGAAAAGGAAAACUAUCCGUGAUUGAUAGGCAAUCUCAAUGCCUGUGGCGUCUGGAGAAUCACCAAGGUGACGAAGCAGAUGAAGAGCACAGAGCUUGUGGUGGCCCUGUCUCCAGUGCACAUCUGAACUGCUAAUUCUGUUCUUCACCGUUAUAGUAUUUCGGGGACAUCUUGCAUUCUGUAACCCAAAAGAAAAACCCCAGCCGCUUAACAGAAAGCACAGAAUGAGAAUGAGGCAGCAGAGGAGAAGCUUAAUGUGUCCCCGCGGGUCACAGGUGACUGAUUCUGCCAAGCAGGACAUGCUCUUGGAUUCACCUCAGGUAGUCCCUACCAAUAUUUCUUGCGGUUACGGUUGUGACUGAAUGUAAUAAUGUCCCAUGUUUUCUUCUGUAAAAUUAAAUUAUUUCCCUUCGUAAAAUAAAAAUAACAGUUACCAGUGACA
ensembl:lncRNA